UCCGGUGACCAAGCGUGAGGAUUCCACCCGUUCCCAUCCCGAACACGGUCGUAAAGACUCAUUGCAGUGAAAAUACUUGGAGGGCCACUUCCUGGGAAGAUAACCAGUUGCCGGAU
rnacentral:rRNA from 1 species